rnacentral:ncRNA from 2 species
AUUUGUUACUGGGUGUGCCAUAUGGCUGAGAGGGAUUUAUAUCUCAAACCUUAGAACCUGAUGUAGUUAAUUCUACCGUAGGGAAGGUAAUAUAUAAUUAAA